AGUGAAAUGGGUGGUGCGCCGAGCUCGAGAAGCUGGAGUGAAACGGGUGUGCUGCACUGAGCUCAAGAAUGUGGAGUGCAUGAUUGUGCAGCUUAGGGGAGGAAAAGGGAUUAGUUGUUGGUGGCUUAAGAAGAAAAGGAAGAUUAUGCACGAUGAGGAUUUUUGAUGCAACAAGAUUUGAGCUCAAGUAAUAGUUUUGCAAUAUUUGAAAAUAUGUUUUGAAAAUAGGUUUUGAAGUUUUGAAUUUGAGUGAGUUUGAGUUUGAAUUUUCAGGAUGUUACAUACAUCUUCUUUUGUUAGGCUGUUAAGUUUCC
rnacentral:lncRNA from 1 species